AGGUGUUAGCUGCAUAUCGCAGCGGAACAGGUUCAUGCGCUGGUCGGGCCGCCACG
rnacentral:ncRNA from 1 species